AGGAGUUUGAUCCUGGCUCAGAACGAACGCUGGCGGCAGGCCUAACACAUGCAAGUCGAGCGCUUUAACCACUUCGGUGGAGCGAGAGCGGCGGACGGGUGAGUAACGCGUGGGAAUAUGCCCUUCACUGCGGAAUAGCCUCGGGAAACUGAGAGUAAUACCGCAUACGCCCUUCGGGGGAAAGAUUUAUCGGUGAAGGAUUAGCCCGCGUUGGAUUAGGUAGUUGGUGGGGUAAAAGCCUACCAAGCCGACGAUCCAUAGCUGGUUUGAGAGGAUGAUCAGCCACACUGGGACUGAGACACGGCCCAGACUCCUACGGGAGGCAGCAGUGGGGAAUCUUAGACAAUGGGGGAAACCCUGAUCUAGCCAUGCCGCGUGAGUGACGAAGGCCUUAGGGUCGUAAAGCUCUUUCGCCAGGGAAGAUAAUGACGGUACCUGGUAAAGAAACCCCGGCUAACUCCGUGCCAGCAGCCGCGGUAAUACGGAGGGGGUUAGCGUUGUUCGGAAUUACUGGGCGUAAAGCGCGCGUAGGCGGACUAUUAAGUUAGUGGUGAAAUCCCAGGGCUCAACCCUGGAACUGCCUCUAAUACUGGUAGUCUUGAGUUCGAGAGAGGUGAGUGGAAUUCCGAGUGUAGAGGUGAAAUUCGUAGAUAUUCGGAGGAACACCAGUGGCGAAGGCGGCUCACUGGCUCGAUACUG
rnacentral:rRNA from 1 species